rnacentral:ncRNA from 2 species
UUUAUUCUUUGGGGCGUGGUGAAAUUCCACACCGAUAGUAAAGCCUAUGAACGCAACUUUGUUGCGCCGAUCGUGGUGAAAUUCCCGAGCCGACGGUAUAGUCCGGAUGAGAAAAGAAUUGU